rnacentral:rRNA from 1 species
GACGAACGCUGGCGGCGUGCUUAACACAUGCAAGUCGAGCGGUAAGGCCCUUUCGGGGGUACGACGAGCGGCGAACGGGUGAGUAACACGUGGGUGACCUGCCUUUAGCUCUGGGAUAAGCCUGGGAAACUGGGUCUAAUACCGGAUAUGACCCUAUGGCGCAUGUUGUGGGGUGGAAAGCCUUGUGCGGCUAGGGAUGGGCCCGCGGCCUAUCAGCUUGUUGGUGGGGUGAUGGCCUACCAAGGCGACGACGGGUAGCCGGCCUGAGAGGGCGACCGGCCACACUGGGACUGAGACACGGCCCAGACUCCUACGGGAGGCAGCAGUGGGGAAUCUUGCGCAAUGGGCGAAAGCCUGACGCAGCGACGCCGCGUGA